GGGCCGGGGGCGGCCGCCCCGGGGGAAGCGGCGCCCCGUGAGGCAGGCCCCGGGGCUAGGAACGCGGCGCCGCUGCCGGCCGCCUUAGUGCCCAGUGCUGGGUACGGAUGCCACAUGUGCCGCACAUCACAGUCCUAAUUCUACAGAGGCAUCUUGGACAAACGUGGACCCCAGGCUAUCUGCUGCAGAGCUUUUGGUCUCACCUCCCCACCACUUUCAACUAGAUAAGCAUUUAAAUUACAGUCCCUUGUCCAGCCCAAGCUGCUAACAAGUGUCCUGAGCCAGCCUUCCCUUCACUACUGUGGGCCACCACCACCAUGGGAGGAGCCAAAACUCGUAUGUAUAGCAAAACUAGCAUGUAUAGCAUAGUCUCCAGCAAACAAGGGAAGUGCCACAGGGCAGUAGGCAACUAGGAAGACAGUUUUUGUAAUGAGUACAGUGAAAAAGAGUAUCUGAUGAAUCAGGAAAGCAUGUAUGCUGGAACAAGAAGCAGGAAACAGCUAAACAGCAGUAAAGUAUGCAGCAGAGAAGGGAAGAGAACAGAAUCAAUGUGAAGAACAAAUAUAAAUUAAGAAAAAAAACAGGGUACUUCUCUUAAUCUCUUCUGUUCAAGGAAUUGCCAGUUAUCAGUUUGGAAGACAGACUGUAAAAAUAUCUCAGCUCUUGAGAGCGUACAGUACAGAAAUCCCUACCAGUUGGACUCAGUAAGAUAGGAGGGUGAAGACUUGCUACCAACUACUAGGAAAGGACUGGCACAAAGGCUAUGCAAGAUUUUCAUGAAGACUGGGAACUUCCAUUAGUUUCUCUUCUAGUACAGAAUGGUGUCAAGCAAGAGAUCUGUGUUAGCCAGGCCUAGGCUGUUAAAAAUCUAUGUUCAUGGCUCACAACAUACAGGCAGGAGAGCUCUCCAUAGUGACACCUACACAGCUGGAGCAGAGGAGACAUGAGACCAGGCAGAUCUAAGACAUGCUAAUUUGUACCUCAUUCCUCUAACUGCUGCCUUACCUGAAGCUUUUAGAAACUAUAAGAUUUUAAACCCACUGUCAAAGUCGGUUGAAAAUGAUUGAGAGCAUCAGAAGUUACUAUUCAGAAGUUAUGACACAAGGAUUACAUCUGUUUAAUUUUAUUAGGAAACCACAUUAGAAAGUGCACUAGACAAAAGUUACAUUUAGAUAUGGGAAACAAGGGAGAAGACCAGAAAGGAAGGCUGAGGGACAGAACAGGAAAAGACAGGAAGAAAAGCAGGCCAUAGAUCCUUAAGUAAGGAAAACUGAUACAUGUUUCCUUCCAUGAACAUGACCAGAACUAAAUCCCUGUAAGACCUUACUGCACUAGAAGAUAGACACAGAGGUCUACAAAGUAGAGUAGGAGGGCCUGUACAAUUAGUGGGGAUAUCUAAAAGCUUCUUUCAACCCUUCUCCAGGGUUGGCUCCUCCUUAGAUUCCAUACAGUAUCCUUUGCCACUAGGAACUGCUCAAAAUAUACAGAAAUCAAAGCAGGUACCUCGCUGGAUAACUUCAAGGUGGUGGUCAAGAAGAGAAGGUAUUCGAAUGAGUCGAGGAAGUAUUUCAGAAAAGAACAUACAGUGAAAAAAAAAACUUAUAAAAGCUGCUUCUUUCCAUA